rnacentral:rRNA from 1 species
UCGCCUGUUUUUACAAAAACAUGUCUUUUUGUAUUUAAUUUAAAGUNUAAUCUGCCCACUGAUUUUUAAUUAAAGGGCUGCAGUAAUUUGACUGUACAAAGGUAGCAUAAUCAUUAGUCUUUUAAUUGAAGACUUGUAUGAAAGAUUUGAUGAGAUAUAAACUGUCUCUUUAUUACAAUUAAAAUUUAAUUUUUUAGUUAAAAAGCUAAAAUAUUUUUAAAAGACGAGAAGACCCUAUAGAGUUUUAUAGUUUUUAUUAUAAAAUAUUUAUAUAAAAUUUUAAUGUUAUAUUAUAAAAAUUAUUUUGUUGGGGAGAUAAAAAAAUUAAAUAAACUUUUUUAAAUAUUUUCAUGAAUAAUUGAGUAAUUGAUCCAUAUUUAUUGAUUAAAAGAAAAAAUUACCUUAGGGAUAACAGCGUAAUAUUUUUUUUUAGUACAAAUAAGAAAAAAAGUUUGCGACCUCGAUGUUGGAUUAAGAUAAAAUUUAAAUGUAAAAGUUUAAAAUUUUGAUCUGUUCGAUCAUUAAAAUCUUACAUGAUC